rnacentral:rRNA from 2 species
GGUUAAGCGACUAAGCGUACACGGUGGAUGCCCUGGCAGUCAGAGGCGAUGAAGGGCGUGCUAAUCUGCGAUAAGCGCCGGUAAGGUGAUAUGAACCGUUAUAACCGGCGAUACCCGAAUGGGGAAACCCAGUGUGACUCGUCACACUAUCAUUAACUGAAUCCAUAGGUUAAUGAGGCGAACCGGGGGAACUGAAACAUCUAAGUACCCCGAGGAAAAGAAAUCAACCGAGAUUCCCCCAGUAGCGGCGAGCGAACGGGGAGGAGCCCAGAGCCUGAAUCAGCAUGUGUGUUAGUGGAAGCGUCUGGAAAGGCGCGCGAUACAGGGUGACAGCCCCGUACACAAAAGCGCAUGUGCUGUGAGCUCGAUGAGUAGGGCGGGACACGUGGUAUCCUGUCUGAAUAUGGGGGGACCAUCCUCCAAGGCUAAAUACUCCUGACUGACCGAUAGUGAACCAGUACCGUGAGGGAAAGGCGAAAAGAACCCCGGCGAGGGGAGUGAAAAAGAACCUGAAACCGUGUACGUACAAGCAGUGGGAGCACCCUUUGGGGUGUGACUGCGUACCUUUUGUAUAAUGGGUCAGCGACUUAUAUUCUGUAGCAAGGUUAACCGUAUAGGGGAGCCGGAGGGAAACCGAGUCUUAACCGGGCGUUAAGUUGCAGGGUAUAGACCCGAAACCCGGUGAUCUAGCCAUGGGCAGGUUGAAGGUUGGGUAACACUAACUGGAGGACCGAACCGACUAAUGUUGAAAAAUUAGCGGAUGACCUGUGGCUGGGGGUGAAAGGCCAAUCAAACCGGGAGAUAGCUGGUUCUCCCCGAAAGCUAUUUAGGUAGCGCCUCGUGAAUUCAUCUCCGGGGGUAGAGCACUGUUUCGGCUAGGGGGCCAUCCCGGCUUACCAACCCGAUGCAAACUGCGAAUACCGGAGAAUGUUAUCACGGGAGACACACGGCGGGUGCUAACGUCCGUCGUGAAGAGGGAAACAACCCAGACCGCCAGCUAAGGUCCCAAAGUCAUGGUUAAGUGGGAAACGAUGUGGGAAGGCCCAGACAGCCAGGAUGUUGGCUUAGAAGCAGCCAUCAUUUAAAGAAAGCGUAAUAGCUCACUGGUCGAGUCGGCCUGCGCGGAAGAUGUAACGGGGCUAAACCAUGCACCGAAGCUGCGGCAGCGACGCUGAUGCGUUGUUGGGUAGGGGAGCGUUCUGUAAGCCUGCGAAGGUGGCCUGUGAGGGUUGCUGGAGGUAUCAGAAGUGCGAAUGCUGACAUAAGUAACGAUAAAGCGGGUGAAAAGCCCGCUCGCCGGAAGACCAAGGGUUCCUGUCCAACGUUAAUCGGGGCAGGGUGAGUCGACCCCUAAGGCGAGGCCGAAAGGCGUAGUCGAUGGGAAACGGGUUAAUAUUCCCGUACUUGGUGUUACUGCGAAGGGGGGACGGAGAAGGCUAUGUUGGCCGGGCGACGGUUGUCCCGGUUUAAGCGUGUAGG